rnacentral:rRNA from 1 species
GACGAACGCUGGCGGCGUGCUUAACACAUGCAAGUCGAACGAUGAAGCCGGAGCUUGCUCUGGUGAAUUAGUGGCGAACGGGUGAGUAACACGUGAGUAACCUGCCCUUGACUCUGGGAUAACUGCUAGAAAUGGUAGCUAAUACCGGAUACGACCCUCGGAGGCAUCUCCAGGGGGUGGAAAGAAUUUCGGUCAAGGAUGGACUCGCGGCCUAUCAGCUAGUUGGUGAGGUAAAGGCUCACCAAGGCGACGACGGGUAGCCGGCCUGAGAGGGUGACCGGCCACACUGGGACUGAGACACGGCCCAGACUCCUACGGGAGGCAGCAGUGGGGAAUAUUGCACAAUGGGCGCAAGCCUGAUGCAGCAACGCCGCGUGAGGGAUGACGGCCUUCGGGUUGUAAACCUCUUUUGGCAGGGAAGAAGCGAAAGUGACGGUACCUGCAGAAAAAGCACCGGCUAACUACGUGCCAGCCGCCGCCGUAA